rnacentral:lncRNA from 1 species
CCUUGGUGAUGAGCGAUUGACAACACGGUGUGCGUGUGACGUGUCUCUUGGCAGGUGUGGUUGCAGGUGACAGGUGGAGACGAGGUACAUGCGGCGACGAGUGAAGAACGGGGAUAGGAUGCCAUGCCGACGAACCGUGGGACGGUGAAGGGUGGAUCAAGGCUCGCGUUCGAGGGACAGGCGAUCGUGCGGUGUACGUCUACUGUACCUGGCUACACGGCGAGAGGACGUCAAGGGAGGUUUUCGGAUUACACCACAAAAUCCGGGGUUCACUGGUUGAGCCAUAAAGCCAUGCAUCGUACCGGGACGCUCGUGCGGCGAGCGUUGGCCGAAGAUGGAAAUUCCGGCGAUCGCGAUACGAUUUCGUGCGGCGACAUCGCGAGGAUCACAUCACGGAGAUGGAGGAAUCGCGGACAUCGAGGAAUUUGUCAUGGAGGACGUAACUGGAAUUUACGCACCUACGUUAAAUUUAUUUAGCGUAGGGGGUUAUGUGUAAAUAGGCCGUGCCACCCUAAGGAUAUAAAUACGUGGCACCUAGGGUUGAGAGAGUUUGAGCCCUUUUGCUACAGGCGGCGCUACAGUACUCGGCGCUACAAUACUCGGCGCUACAGUAACUCGCGAUUACUGUUCAUCGCGGUUACUGUUCACGCGCGGUACUGUUCAUCGUCGCAGGUACUGUUCAUCUCUCUCUAGUCUAGCCUAGGGUUUCAAUCUAAGUGAGGGAUUUUUAUUGAUCUCUCCAAUUAAGAGAGGGAGGAUGUUUGGGCGGAGGCUAGAUGCACUUUUGUAAGCGCAUUACUUGUCUCAAUUUUUCAUAUUAGUGAAUUAAUCUAUGUGCUUGUGCGUCAUGUUGUGCUGAGGUUAAGAUUGAUUUGAUCCAUCUAAAAUCAUGCUAGGGCAUCUUAUUAGAGCUUAAUCUAUUCUCGUCAUUGUCUGAUACAGUCUGCUUGUUCCUUUAAUAUCUCAAGAUCCGAAAGUCCGAUUGACAUGAUUCCAGUUGGGUUAGUUGCAUAAUUUUGUAUGGAUUUUUCUGUCAAAUUUUUAGGUUGAUCGGUCUUACGGAUUUUCGUCCAUAUCUUUUUUAUUAAGGAAACAGUAUUCUGUCCAGAUUUGAAAAACGUGAUUUAAUUAGGUUUUGAGAGGAAGGGGAGGUGUUAAACUUUAUUUUUUGAACUUGCGCCCAUUCACCCCCCCUUCUGGUCGCCGUUUCGGUUCUUCAAUUGGUAUCAGAGCCGGUUAAGGUUUUCUAUAUCUUAAUCGGUUACGAAAACCAUGGCGACCUCCGGAAAAUUCGAUACACGCGCUCCGCAUUUUGAUGGUACUGAUUAUGACUAUUGGCAGUCACGUACGAAAGCUUAUUUGAAGGGGAAGGGGAUGAAUCUGUAGAGGAUCACACAAAACUCUACAUAUGUGAUUCCUGCAGAGGACCCUACUGAUCCUGCUGCUGUUGCUCUUCUUGAAGCAAAUAAUCGGGUUGUUGACAUUUUGCAAGCUUCUCUUUGUAAACCCGAGUAUGAUCGUAUUUCCAGUGAGGAGCUAGCUUUUCAGAUCUGGGAUAAAUUAAAGAAAUAUCAUGAAGGCUCCAACGCUGUGAAAACACGAAAAUUGAAAUUUAUAGAAAAGAAUUUGAUGCUUUUUCUCAGUUGCCUGGUGAAUCUAUUGAAGAUCUUUUUGCAAGGUUUCAAGUGAUUGUAAACAAAAUGAAAUCCCUUAAUAAGGAUAUGCCUUACAAUGAUCAUGCAAGGGCUCUCAGAUUGUUGCAUUCACUUACUGAUGAGUGGGAUAUGAAGGUAGAGGCAAUCGUUGAGUCCGCUGGCUAUGAGACUCUUACCACUGACGAGCUUUUCAGUAAGCUUAAGUCAAAAGAGAUUGAUGUCCUCUCCAAGCGCAAAUUGAAAAAUCCCACUAGCGCUUCUUCGAUGUUCCUAUGGCUUUGGUUUCUGGGAGUAAAACUAACGCUAACACUAAUCCAGUUCCUCCAAGCUUUGCCUUGUCUUUUUUGUGUCAUGUUGCAGAUGAUGAGUUGGAGACGCUAGAUGAUGAUCAGUUGGUGCUGCUCUCCAACAAAUUCAAGCUAGUCUAUGAGAACCGACGCAACAGAAGAUGCUCAGAAGGAUGUUUCAGCUGUGGUGAGCGAGGCCACUUUGCAGCUGAUUGCCCGAACAAGAGAACAUUUGAUCAGGGCAACAACUCCAGGCGCCAGGAACAACCAAGGGAGAAGAAUAAGAAGGGUGACAGGCGCAUGAAGAAGAAUGGCCAGAAGUACACUGAUAAGAAAAUUAAAAGGGCUGCACAUGUUUUGUUUUCUUCUCUUGGUGAUUUUGUUUCAGAUGCUUCUUCGAACUCAAGUGAUUCAGACUCCGAGAAUGAGCUGCCCAAAAAGAAAACUGACGGACUCUGCUUCCUCGCCGACAUCAAGGGAGGGAUGUGCACCAUGGCCUUAGAAGAUGAUGAAGCUUCUAAUAUCAGCGACAACUCUUCUGACAAUGAGGUACAAAAUUCAGCAGAAGAAGAAAUUAAAGAAUUGACAAAAAUUAUUGAUAAACAAAACAAGAUUUUAGCAAAACUUAAGGCUGAGUAUGAUAGAGUCAUCUUUGAAUUAAAAGACUUAAAAGAUGCUACUCCUGCUGAAGUAGAAUGUGAAGAGUGCUCUGUGCAUAUGGUUUCACUUUCUGAAUUGCAAUCUAAGCAUGCCUUCAUUGUUGACAAAUUUGAAAAAUGCUAAGAUUGAGUUAGAAAAACUUCACUCUGGUUCGGCUUCACUUGGCGCUUGUGCUUCUUGUCCAACCUUGAAAUCUGAAUUGAAUAAUGCUAAAUCUCGUGUUAUUGAGUUGGAGAAACACUCUUGUCCUGCUUUGCCUUCCUGUUUAACUUGCCCUACUUUUGUUGCUGAAAAUAAUGAUUUGAGGGUGAAGUUUUCUACUUUGGAAGAAGAAAAUAAACAUUUGAGAGUGAUUCUUGGUUGGUGCUCUAUUCGUGAACCUCAGAUUGGUAUGUCAAUUGCUCAAAUUAAACGGAGUGAGCGUUUUGGACCUGGAUAUGAUUUGAAACAUGUUUUUGGUGAAAAGAGUGGACCUCCUAUUUCUGAAAAGAAUCCACCUUUGGCUAAGUACACUGGACCACCUCCUAGGAAAGAGGGUCCAUGUGUCACAUCUGAGGGGUUGUUAGUUGAACCAUCCAGAUCUGUUCCAAAAAAGCAGGUUUGGGUGCCUAAACCUAAACACUUCAAUGUUGCACAGAACGCUAAGCCAUCUACUUCGCCAUGUGUUCACACUGCUAGACCUAAGCAUAACUUUGUUGCUUCUGGUUCUAAGGCUAAGGCUUCUUUUGCUCCUUCACAUAAGCAUUACCAUUGUGAUUUUUGUGAUCGUGAUGGUCAUCUCUAUGGGUUUUGCUUCCGUCGGAAGCGUGCUGAGAGACGCGAACAGUACUCUGCACGUGGUACUCAUGAUCGUCCUAUUUUGGGUCGUGAACCUGCUAGUUGGUCUUUUGGUUUUCGCCCACAUACUCGUGCUCCUGCCCCACGUCGGAAUGACAGGCCACGUUUUCCCCCUCGUGGUUCUCGUCAUUCUUUCGAGAGGUUUGAUUUUGCUAAUGCCUCUUUUGAGCAAGUGGCCCAACACUGGUUUUCUCUGCAUUAUCCUAACCCCAGUGUUGAGUCAUUAGCUCACUCUUGUGUUCGCCAUUGACUGCAGGAUGGAGGCGAGGAGAACAUAUGGAUAAUGGAUUCCGGUUGUUCGCGCCACAUGACCGGAGAUGACAAAUGGUUCUCCAGCCUCACCCCCGCGAGCGGUAAGGAAUAUAUUACAUUCGGGGAUAAUAGUAAAGGUAAGGUUUUGGCGCAUGGCUGCAUCAAGGUAACUGAUAAAUUCAUACUAAAGGAUGUCGCGAAAGUACAAAAUUUGCACUAUAAUCUGCUUUCUGUCUCACAACUUCUUGAAGAUGAUUUUGAAGUGCAUUUUAAGAAAGGCAAUUCGCGAGUUCUUGAUUCUACUGGCAACCUUGUUUGCAUGAUUUCUCCCUUUGGACGAGUUUUUAAGGUUGAUUUUUCUAAAUCUUUUGGACAGACUCGUUGUUUGGUUGCUCGUGGUUUCCCUGAUAUUUGGAAGUGGCAUCGUCGGUUGGGCCACUUGAGCUUUGAUUUGCUUUGUCGCUUGAGUUCGAUGGAUUUAAUUGAUGGUUUGCCAAAACUCAAGUUUGAAAAAGAUUUAAUUUGUGCUCCCUGCAAACAUGGAAAAAUGGUUGCUGCUUCCCAUGCACCUGUGACGCAGGUGAUGACGAGACGACCGGGUGAACUGUUACAUAUGGACAUUGUUGGUCCAGCCCGUGUUCGGUCUGCUGGUGGGAAGUGGUAUGUGCUCGUAGUUGUGGAUGAUUUUUCUCGAUACUCAUGGGUGUUCUUUCUGGAAUCUAAGGAUGACGCCUUUUCACAUGUUCAUGAUCUUGUUCUAAAGCUGAAAAAUGAGUUGUCAAAUAAUGCCGUUAGAGCAAUUCGCGGUGACAAUGGUACGGAAUUCAAGAACUCUCGUAUGAAAGCUUUUUGUGCAGAACAUGGUCUUGAUCAUCAAUUUUCUUCUCCUUAUGUUCCUCCUCAGAACGGUGUUGUUGAAAGGAAAAAUCGCACGCUUGUUGAAAUGGCUAGGACAAUGCUAGAUGAACAUAAAACCCCUAGACGUUUCUGGGCUGAGGCAAUCAACACCGCUUGCUAUGUUGCUAAUAGAAUUUUUCUGAGAGCUUUCCUGAAGAAAACAUCAUAUGAGUUGAGAUUUGGACGUCCUCCCAAAGUUUCCCACUUUCGAGUAUUUGGUUGCAAGUGCUUUAUUCUAAAAAAGGGAAACUUGGAUAAGUUUGAGUCUCGUUCUUCUGAUGGGUUAUUUCUGGGGUAUGCUUUGCAGGGGCGUGCUUACCGUGUGCUUAAUAUUGACACUAACCGCAUCGAGGAGACAUGUGAGGUCACCUUCGACAAGACAAUGCCUUGUUUUUCUUCUGCUUUUGAAUGUGCAGGUGAUGAUGAGAUCGGGCAGGAUAUUUUUGAGGAUGAGCAAGAGGAAGAUGGAUACAACAAUGACGACGACGAUGACGCCCCGCCUGUGAUGCAGGGGGAGCCUGGAGCGCAGCUCGAGCAGGCACCCUCCACCACUUUGGAGGAUGGACCAUUGCCUACACGUACAUCUAAGCAACGCCUGCAGCCUCACCGACUUUUGAUCAGGUACCGGCUGCAGUUGAAGGAGAGGCGAUUUCAGAACGUACAGCACCACGCCACAUUCAGAAUCGCCACCCUCCUGAAAAAAUGAUAGGUAACUUGAAUGAGCGAACGACACGGAACAGAGGUAUGAAAAACAAAAAUUAUUGUGUUUUUGCUCAUACUGCUUUUGUUGCCUCUUUUGAACCCCGAGAUGUUGGACAUGCUUUAUCUGAUUCUAACUGGGUCAAUGCCAUGCAUGAGGAGUUAGAAAAUUUUGAACGAAAUCAAGUUUGGGUUUUGGUUGAUCCUCCUCCUUCUUGUAAACCAAUUGGGACUAAAUGGGUUUUUAAGAACAAACAAGGAGAAGAUGGUCAUGUUGUCAGGAACAAAGCCAGAUUAGUGGCUCAGGGGUUUUGUCAAAAGGAGGGUAUUGAUUAUGGUGAAACUUUUGCUCCUGUUGCUCGUUUAGAAGCCAUUCGUAUCUUGCUUGCGUUGGCUGCUUCACAUGGUUACAAGCUUUAUCAAAUGGAUGUAAAAAGUGCUUUUCUGAAUGGUUUUAUAGAAGAAGAAGUUUAUGUCAAACAACCGCCUGGUUUUGAACACCCCAAUUUUCUUGAUCAUGUUUUUAAGUUGCAAAAGGCUUUAUAUGGUUUGAAGCAAGCACCUCGUGCUUGGUAUGCUAGAUUGAAAACUUUUCUACUUAAAAACGGAUUCAAAAUGGGUUCAGUUGAUGAAACUCUUUUUCUCCUCAGGCAAGGCAAUGACACUUUAAUAGUUCAGAUUUAUGUGGAUGAUAUCAUUUUCGGUGGUUCCUCUCAUGUUCUUGUGAAAAAGUUUGCAGAUGUGAUGAGCAAAGAAUUUGAGAUGUCUAUGAUGGGCGAGCUGAAGUUCUUUCUUGGCUUACAUAUUAAACAAACUUCGGAAGGAACAUUUGUACAUCAGGGAAAGUACACGAAGGAUGUCCUGCAGAAGUUUGCGAUGGAUGAUGCAAAGCCAAUUUCUACGCCCAUGCCGACUAGCGCGGCUUUGGAUGCUGAUGAGAACGGAGAGCCCGUGGAUCAGAAGGAUUAUCGAAGCAUGAUCGGGUCACUGCUGUACUUGACUGCAACAAGGCCGGAUAUACACUUUGCUGUGUGUAUGUGUGCUCGUUUUCAGGCGUCCCCCAGGAUUUCUCAUCGUCAGGCGGUGAAGCGCAUCAUGAGGUAUCUUCAAUUUACUCCUGAAUUUGGCCUUUGGUACUCUGCUGCUUCGACUCUCAAUUUGUGUGGUUAUUCGGAUGCUGAUUUUGCUGGAUGUCGUUUGGAUAGAAAGUCUACUUCGGGUACUUGCCAAUUUUUGGGUUCUUCGCUUGUUUCUUGGUCCUCUAGAAAACAAUCCAAUGUUGCUCAAUCUACUACAGAGGCCGAGUAUGUUGCUGCUGCUAGUUUUGUUCUCAGCUUUUAUGGAUGAUAGCUACCCUUCGCGAUUUUGGUUUGUCAUUUUCUCGCGUUCCUCUCUUGUGUGACAGCACUAGUGCUAUAAGUGUUGCAAAGAAUCCUGUGCUUCAUUCUAAGACGAAACAUAUUGAGGUUCGUCAUCAUUUUCUGAGGGAUCAUGUUGAGAAGGGUGAUAUUGAGCUAAAAUACAUUGAUACUAGUCAGCAACUUGCUGAUAUUCUAACUAAACCACUCGAUCAAACCACGUUUGCACGUUUGCGUGGUGAGUUCGGGGUGUGUUACCCAUUUUAGUAUCAUUAUGAGUUGCUUCGGUUACAUAUGCUUUAUACUUGUUUUGGCUAGUUUGCGACCGAUGCUUUUGGAGAGGUUUAAAUGCUUUGUUUGACCAGUUUUUUUUUGAAAACAACAUAUAUAUAUAUAUACUUCAAAAAUUAUGUUGGGCUCUACUUGCUUUUCUGGAUUUAGUGACUUGUUGAAUACUAGACAUAUAUCUUGCUCAUGGUUCGGUUGUCAGCUUCUUUUAAUGAUUUUUCACUGCAAAUGUAACUCACAAUGCAAGUUUUAACUCGGAAGUGCAUACCAUGGUUGUGAGCAAAAACUCUGAAUUCCCAUAUCUCUGCUAUCUCGCUCAUGAUCUGCUUACUUUACUGAGAAUUUACAUAUGGGCACAACUCUGAUUUUCCCAUGUCUCUGCUGGUUCUCGCUCAUAAGCAAAAUUAAACAACCUGGCUGAGCACAAUUCUUGCUUCCCAUAUCCCUGCUUGUCAUGCUCAUAAAAGCCAGAAUUAAAUAUGACAAGUGCAUUUGUGGGCGUUGAAGUGAACUUUGAUUGAAGCUGUGUAUCCGUCGUGUGAGCUUGAUAUAUGUUUCUGUCUUCAGCUUGGCACUAAUUUUGAAAUAUGCAUGCUUUUGCCUGGUUAAUUGGUUUUCAAAACGACUUUAAUUCUAACUUUCUAUUGGUCGUGGCAUUGUGUUGCUUCUCUGGAUGGCUAGUGUUGUUAGUUGGCUAUUAUAAGUAUUUGACAUAUGUCUCAGAAGCUUCUACUUGUGCUCUCUCACAUAGUUCUCGAAAUUGAUUCUUUGCAUUUUAAUCUUGAUGGAGUGCUUUGUCAACAAGGGGGAGAGUGAGUAGCACAAAUUCAUUUUUGCAAGAGGAGUUUGAUUUCGUUUUUUGCUGAGACUUGACGUGCUUGUUUUGAGGGGGAGCUUUGCUGCUGAGUUUUGCUGCUGAGAUUGCUUUUUGAAGAUUGAUAUGGUUUUUGAUUCACUUUGGGAGAGUGAUUUUUUAUCUUGAUUGUGUUGAGCCUAGUUUUUUCUCUAGCCCAUGUCUUUGGGGAUCAAGAUUGUUUCUUUUUCCUUCUUUCUAUUUUCUUUUUUAGCUCGAAUAAAUUUGUGCGGUGUGGUGUUGUCAAUGCACUCAUCAAGGGGGAGAUUGAGAUGCCGGUGGGCUAGUACCUUGGUGAUGAGCGAUUGACAACACGGUGUGCGUGUGACGUGUCUCUUGGCAGGUGUGGUUGCAGGUGACAGGUGGAGACGAGGUACAUGCGGCGACGAGUGAAGAACGGGGAUAGGAUGCCAUGCCGACGAACCGUGGGACGGUGAAGGGUGGAUCAAGGCUCGCGUUCGAGGGACAGGCGAUCGUGCGGUGUACGUCUACUGUACCUGGCUACACGGCGAGAGGACGUCAAGGGAGGUUUUCGGAUUACACCACAAAAUCCGGGGUUCACUGGUUGAGCCAUAAAGCCAUGCAUCGUACCGGGACGCUCGUGCGGCGAGCGUUGGCCGAAGAUGGAAAUUCCGGCGAUCGCGAUACGAUUUCGUGCGGCGACAUCGCGAGGAUCACAUCACGGAGAUGGAGGAAUCGCGGACAUCGCGGAAUUUGUCAUGGAGGACGUAACUGGAAUUUACGCACCUACGUUAAAUUUAUUUAGCGUAGGGGGUUAUGUGUAAAUAGGCCGUGCCACCCUAAGGAUAUAAAUACGUGGCACCUAGGGUUGAGAGAGUUUGAGCCCUUUUGCUACAGGCGGCGCUACAGUACUCGGCGCUACAAUACUCGGCGCUACAGUAACUCGCGAUUACUGUUCAUCGCGGUUACUGUUCACGCGCGGUACUGUUCAUCGUCGCAGGUACUGUUCAUCUCUCUAGUCUAGCCUAGGGUUUCAAUCUAAGUGAGGGAUUUUUAUUGAUCUCUCCAAUUAAGAGAGGGAGGAUGUUUGGGCGGAGGCUAGAUGCACUUUUGUAAGCGCAUUACUUGUCUCAAUUUUUCAUAUUAGUGAAUUAAUCUAUGUGCUUGUGCGUC